UGCCUCAGCAAGGAGGAGCCCGGACAGAAAACACCAGGGCAGCAAGGAUUUGGAAGUGGAGUUCCUGGAGAGCGAACCUGGCAAUGAGCGCAGGUUUCCCUGAAAGCUGAGGCUGUUUCUUAUUCCCUAGGAGACUGAGAAGAGAGGGGACCCUGGAUGUCAGCCCAGUCUCCCUUUUUUGUUUGUUUUGACUUUGAGGCCGAUUUCCUCUUUGAGCUCUGGGAAUUGACAGUGUCCACCCCCAGGUGUUUGCUGGCCCAACCUUCUACAGGAACUAUAGAAAGUCCUGCUCAUCCUGCUCAUCCCUGAUGGCUGGAAUUGUGCAGUAAAAACCCUGUACAGAGAGAUCUUUUGAUUACCUAAAAAAGUAAACUGCAUCCUGUAGAUUUCCUCUUAAAACAUCUGCUUUACGGAAUAGAAGAUCAACCUGUUGCAGGUGCGUCAAUGACAUCAAACUCACUUCUGUUUUGCCCGACUGUCCUCUCUACCUUCUGUCUGUCUAAAAUUAUCAUUUUGGAAAGCAUUGAAGGAGUUGUAUUAAUAUUUGUGUGAACCACUUCUCCUGCGCACUGUCUGUUCUUUUCUCCUUCCCCUUGGUGUCUGGUUCGUCCUGACUGCUUUUAAAAAUUCUGUUGCCUCUAGUGAGGGACUGCCAGAUUAAACCAGUGAAGAGAAACCAGGUGACUGUCUACUUUUACAAAUAUAGGUUGUGUAUAAUAAAUUCAGGCUUUACAUCUAUGCAAAUUAAAUCAUCAUAUGAUUCUGACUACAUGCAUUUUUUAUCAAAUAUGGCAUAUAUUUCACAAAUUAUAUUUAACUUAUAGUCAUGUUGCUUUUCUGAAUACCUAACUAGGAGUUACAAGGUGUGCCAUUAGAUCUUAGUAAAUAGGCUUAUGAAGACAGAAGAAAUAAGAGAAAAUCACCUUUUUUUCUUGUAUACCUGGUAAGUCCAGUGGAAAGGCUUUUCCUGCUGUAGGUGAUAACAUAAACACCUCGCCACUGAGCUGCUUAGAGACACAAGCACAUCUUGUUAUUAGAAAUAUAGAGAUUUUGCAAAGGCCUAAACAGAUCAUGCCCAGAAUAAGGAAGUUUUAAAGCAAUGUGUCUUUGGUCUGGAGUUUACCGCAUAUAGUUAGUAAGGCCUUCCACUAAUGUUUCUCUCAUGGAGUGGAAGACAUUAGUCAAAAUGUCAAAAUAAAGAUUUUACUUCUGCAAAAUUAUAUUUUCACCUCAGGAAUAUUGUGAAGUGAAAACAGGAUUUAGCACAAUUCUUCCUUCAGGGUCUAUCUACAGACAGGGCAGUUUUAGUGUAAAGCCUUAAGCCUUGCAAUAUGAUUCCUAACCAUAGGUGCACCAUACAUUGAAUAAUCAAUCUGUCAGCUAGGCUAUGA